rnacentral:misc_RNA from 1 species
UUCCUUCUAUAUAAUAAGUACCUACACAUUACAUACUUCAACUUUAGCUCAACCACUAGGACUUAAACCAUAUAGUAUAUAUCCAAAAGUUUCAAUGGCAACUUGGUUUUUAAGAAGGUUAAAUAAUCACGGUGUCAUGCAAAAGCUAUCUAUGGCUUUUUCCGGCAAGUCUACCACCGCUAUCGGACGGAGAUAUUUUGUGUCAAUGGAAGUUGGACAAAAGUUGGAUCCAUACAGUUGUGAUGAUGAUUAUCGUGAAAAUAUCGAUCAUCAAAAUCAGGAUUUGGAUUUUCCAGGUGGAAAAAUCCCAUUGACAUCACAAAUGAAGUUUAUUUCAGAAGCAUCUGAGAAGAGAUUACCGUGCUAUCGAGUUCUAAAUGACGAUGGAUCUCUAAUUUCCAACUCCAUACAUGAUCAGUUAGGGGAAGAAGUUGCCGUGAACAUGUAUAGUGCUAUGGUUACUUUGAAGACAAUGGACACUUACCUUUAUGAAGCACAAAGGCAAGGGAGGAUUUCUUUCUAUAUGACCACUUUUGGUGAAGAAGCUAUCAACAUUGCUUCUGCUGCUGCUUUAUCUCCACAUGACUUUGUGUUACCUCAAUAUCGAGAGGCAGGGGUGUUACUAUGGCGUGGCUUCACGGUGCAAGAAUGCACAAAUCAAUGUUUUGGGAAUAAGGAUGAUAAAGGGAAAGGGAGGCAAAUGCCAGUACAUUAUGGUUCUAAUAAACAUAAUGUUAUUACCAUAUCUUCACCUUUGGCCACUCAGAUAUCUCAGGCUGCUGGUGUGGCUUAUUCUUUGAAAAUGGAUAAAACUGGUGCUUGUGCUGUUGCUUAUACAGGGGAAGGUGCAACUAGUGAGGGAGAUUUUCAUGCUGGAUUGAACUUUGCAGCUGUUUUGGAAGCUCCUGUUAUCUUCCUAUGCCGGAAUAACGGAUGGGCCAUAAGCACUCCUGUACACGAACAAUUCCGAAGUGAUGGCAUUGUGUCAAAGGGUUUAGGUUAUGGAAUCAGAAGUAUUCGCGUCGAUGGGAAUGAUGUUAUUGCAGUUUAUAAUGCUGUUCGUGCAGCUCGUACUAUGGCAAUUAGUGAGGAAAGACCGAUACGUCAUUGCCUCAACUAGUAUCGGUCUUUCCUCACUAAU